rnacentral:lncRNA from 1 species
CCCUGCAGCAGCAGCGGCGUGGUCAGAGCGAGCUUCGGAGAAGCAGUGGUGGGUUCCAUGUGAUGGUGGAGUAGGAGGCAGGUCUCCGCGGGUUCAUCUGUGUUGCUCUAAAUGACACUGUUUCAUUAUUUUGAUGGCUGGAGAAUAUUUCCUAGUGUAUGUAUAUGAGAGUUUCUUGAUCUCUUUAUCUGUGGAUGAACAGGCUACUUUGAAACAUAUGAUACAUUUGUGUUAAGGCUAGUCACCCUGCUGUGGAAUAGAAGGCCAGAAUUGAUCAGUCUCAUCUGAGAGUAACUUUGUACCCAUCACUGAUUCCUUCUGAGACUGCCUCCACUUCCCCAGCAGCCUCUGGGUUUCUUCAUGUGGCUGCAGAUGGCAGGAUUUCCCAAAGGUUUCUGGCUGAAACAUAUUCCGUGGUGUAUCUGUACAGCAGUUUCCUCAUCCCUGCAGCUGUGUUUGAACAGGGUUCAACAGUAUGGCUCCAAAGGAUGAAAUUUCAUUCUGAUUUUCUGGCUGAAGACUAUUCUCUUUGUGUAUGUCCACCACAGUUACUUUAUCCCUUCAUCUGUGGAUGGGCAGGUCUCGCUGUAUUGCCCAGGCUGGAGUGCAGUGGCAUGAUCUCAGCUCACUGCAAGCUCUGCUUCCUGGGUUCACGCCAUUCUCCUGCCUCAGCCUCCUGAGUAGCUGGGAUUACAGGCACCCGCCACCACGCCCAGGGAAAGAAAAAAGAAGAAAACAAACCUCCAUACGAGAAUGGGUCUAAAGGAACUUCCCAAACCUCCAUGAUUUUGCAGGAAACAAGAUAAAGGCUCCAGGCCAGGAGCCCCAACUGGCUGGUGGAGGAUGUCUUGCUCCUCAGCAGCUGGGAUUUGUAAGUAUUUGUAGGAACAUGGAACAGAUCAGUGGCUGACAGGCCCAGGAAGCAGACAGUCCCCUUCCCAUAGGUCACCAGCUUCACUUCCCCUUCCUGCACCCCAUCCUGAUUUGAGGGAGCCCAGGAUGACAAAGAGGGAGUAGUUGAGCAAGGUAUGGAGUGGCAGCCUCUACAGGAGCUCAAAGGAUGCAUUUGUCCAUCUGCCCUGGGCUCAGCUUCCACACUCAGAGUCACUCACAUCCCUCCACCGUCGCCACAGCUCACCUGUGUGCCCACACGGCCAAGGUCACACUGACCCCAAACGCACACUGUUUCAACUCUCAGCACUUCACUGUCACACUCGCGUGUGUACACACAUGCUUUCUAAUUUCCACAGCCACAUGGAUGCUCACACACUCACACCUUUGCACACACACACAAGCUGGCUCACAGACACACUGGGGGCCCAGAUCCUGGUCAUUCCCCACAGGUCUUAAUAAAGGUUCAUGGAAGGAAACCUGUUUCCUAAGGUAGGGUGGGAGUGUGUGUGAGUGUG